rnacentral:rRNA from 1 species
AAUCACUUGUCUUUUAAAUGAAGACCCGUAUGAAUGGCAAGACGAGGGCUUAACUGUCUCCUCCCUCAGGUCAAUGAAAUUGAUCUCCCCGUGCAGAAGCGGGGUUUCGACCAUAAGACGAGAAGACCCUAUGGAGCUUUAGAUUAUAGACAGACCAUGUAAAGAACCCCUUAAUAAGGGAAAAAACUUGUGGAUUCUGCCCUAUAUCUUCGGUUGGGGCGACCAUGGGGAAAUAAAUAACCCCCACGCGGAACGAGAGCACUUCUCCAUUUUUACACCUAUUAGUCUCAACAAUCUUGCUCCCACAAACUAGAAUCGCAAUUCCAGUUACCAGUAUUUCUGACCAUUAGUGAUCCGGCAAAACCGAUCAACGGACCAAGUUACCCUAGGGAUAACAGCGCAAUCUCCUUCUAGAGCCCCUAUCGACGAGGAGGUUUACGACCUCGAUGUUGGAUCAGGGCAUCCUAAUGGUGUAACCGCUAUUAAGGGUUCGUUUGUUCAACGAUUAA